CUAUACAUCUAGUUUUAUUUCUAGUUAUGUAAUUCUAUGCACUUCUAUGAACUAACUCUCACAGUAGGCUUAUACAAGGCUACAACGAUGAUUAGGCUACCAAAAACAAAGCAAGCUAACUAACACCUUAAAGGGGAAAUCUGAAGUUGCUUCAUUCAUCUGAAUAAAUUAAAUGUACCCAUUGAUUCUUGAAGAAGAUAACUUAUAAAUGCUGCAUGAGUUUAGUUCAACUGUCAUACCCCAUCAGAACCCAAAAUACAAGCUUGUUUCAAUCCAAUGUUUGGAAACAAAGUACAUGUAAAUAAACACUAUAUAGCCUAUAAACAUGGUUAGAACUAUAAUGUUGAUAUCAUGGAUGCUCAAGCCUUGAUUCCAUAGCUCUGUCUAAGAAUGUGACAUUGAUUACAUUUCUCCAGCCCUUUCCCUCAGCUUUUUACUGAAACAGGGGUGGGAAAGCGGUUUGUUGUUGUUUGAAAUGCUGAUUGCCGCUUUAACGGUUUAAUAUGCAGAAAUCUCUCCGCCAUUUCCUGGUUGCUAACAUUCUAAUAGUUUGCUUAAUUUCAGUUUAUGUGACAAAACAAGCAACGCCCUGUAUAGUGUAGAGAAUCAGUAUAUCGUCUAAACUACAUAUAUUGUAGGCUAAAAUACAGUCAGCAAGAAAUGUGUUUUAUGCUUGAACACACAACCUUUGUGACAGAAUCAACAAAAAAAAUGUUUUUACAACUGACGUCAUAGGCUACAUAGUGAGAGGUGCGUGAACCGUUAAAUUGAGGGAUCAAUUUGGAAAGUGUAGCUUUCCAUGAAGACACCGAAAUCAAGGCUUACUGUUGCAACCCGUUGUUCCACGCUAGUGCAGUGACAUGAGCAAGACAGAAGGGGGCAACACGAGCAUGCGGGCGCGAAGCUUCACUCAAAGGGAGCUUGACGCAGUGUCCCGUUCCUCUUAUUUCCAGCGCAUGUUACCAGAGCGUGAGGAGCAAGGAAGGGUUUAUGAUGCUGUGUUCCAUCUCAGGGAGGGGUAUGAACCCAAAGUGUCACGUGAUGACAAGGCUGUGAACCUUACACUGAACAUUAAUAAGGAGGAAAGGGGUAGACGGGUGCCUGUCCUCUCAUCGUCUAUGUACGGCUGGCAUGUAGACAAACCCCUGGAGGCUCCCUACAAGAAGAAUGCACGCGUGCAGAUGGUGAACAAGGGGUUCUUCCGAUCCCGAGGGACCUGUAUCCCACUAGAGACAGAAAUUGGAGAGUUGAAUGAAAAAUGCAAACCUUAAUAAAAGAUGCAAAGUGAAAUUUUAUGCACUGUAGGAUAUAUAUGCCAAACACAUACACACACACUCGUAUACAUUUGCACCCGGAAAGACAGGAUCUGGACAGAGAUCAGCUAGAGAGCUAGCAACAAGAGGGUGAGAGGUCAGCCAGAGGGAGAAUAAGCACAGUAGCAGAAUAAAGUACUGAUACUACAAGAUAACAACAUUUAAGCUCUUGUUCUACAUACCCAGAGUCAGAUGAACUCAUAGAUUCCAUUUGUUUGUCUGCAUGCAGUAUGAAGUAGCGGUAGUUUCGUGAGUCAAUGCUAACUAGUGUUAGCACAACGACUGGAAGUCUACAGGUAUGGUAGCAUUGCGAGAGAGAGCAACUACAAAAAGCAGAGAAGCUAGAGAGAGUGCUUAGGGUUUCCAAUUCGCAUUCUUAUUUAUUUUAG
rnacentral:lncRNA from 13 species